UUUUUACUUUUAGAUUGCCUUUGUCAAAUCUCUCUUGUAAAAUCAAUAGCUCAGUUAUCACACAGGAAAGACACCAUAGCAAACAGCUAUCUCCAAAUUUUGAAAUAUGAGCCAACAAAACUUCUACUACAAUCUGUGUCGUUAUUUUGCUAUGAAGCUUUACAAAAACUUCGCCCGUGAAUUGUUCGUGUUGAAAGUAUGAGAGCUCCAAAACUUGGGAAGAGAGUGAUACCCAUGACUGGAUCACCGCUGACCAAUGAUGUUGCGCCCUUGGACAACAAUGCUCCGAAGGGCAUCAUAGUAUUAACAGGUGGUAAGUUUACAGCUGAUGAUUGUUUUCAACGAGUAUUUGAGAUGUGUUCCAUGUAAAGGCAGGUUUUAGUUCAAAACCUCUCGAAAGUUAGAAGCCAGGGGGACAUUGGAUUGGUAUAACUCACAACCUGUUAAUUUUAACACGUUCUAUAAAUAUUUACCAGCAAUGUGCGAGGUAGAUUACAUUGACAUGAAAGGUUGAGGAUUUUCAAAUGAUUUUGGAAAGGUUACGUGCCCAACAACCCUCUAAGAAAGGAACAUUUUCAUUGAUGAACAAACAAUAAUGUCUCGGACUGAUUAUCGAAGCACAUCAUUGUUAGAUGAUGCAAAAGGCCAAGUUCUACUCUGGUUAUGUCAGUUUUAAAAGCACUUCAACAACCUGCUUCAGUGGAUGUUUGAAGUCCAAAGAAAAUUGAGGUAGAUAAGAAGAAAGAAGCAUGUGUUAGUACGACAAAUACACGACGUACUUUAAAAGUUGUUGAACAUGGGAAAACAUCCACUAUGCCAUAUGGAACAUCAAAAUACUGGACGCUGAUUGGCCGAGUGACUUUGGCUGUGCUCUAAUUCUAGAUAUCUGUAGAUAUGACUUCAUUACUACGAAAAAUUUUUUCUACCAUUAUUGACUGACGCCAUUAAAAGCCGAAUUUGAAAAAAUCAAAUAAAGUGAUGUUUACCACAGUUUCUAAAAACAAUAAGCGAAAGAUUUCGAACAAAAUUGAUGCAGAAAACACUAAAAAAGCGACGAAGCUGGUUUCGAACAUAUUUACAGCAUAUUUAAACAAGAAGAACUCGAAAAAACCGUUUGACAAUUACAACUAAGGGCAGGUUUCGAAAUGUUUUACAUUGAUGAGUGUAAAUAAUAUUUCAGUUUAUUGAGGUGAAUGAUAAAACAAUUAUUCAAUUCGUUUUUCGCAUGAUAUCAACAAUUAUUCAUACCUCUGUCAACGUUAUCCGUCCCAGCUUUGCUUCGGCAGAUGACAUUGACCUCGGUCUUAAUAAUUCUAGAUAUCAUGCUCAACUUCAUCUAAUAACUGUUCAUUAUUUAAAUAUUAACUUGCUAAACUGAGGGACAUUUUGCUGGUA